CUUUAACGGUGAGUUUUUCUUUAAAAAUAGAAUUCGAAGAUAAAAAUAAUAUAAAGUUGUCAAGCAAUGAAACACUGAAUGAAAUAAUCGAGAACGACUCUGUGGUUGAAAUGAUUGUGUACGUUGAUGAAGUCGAAGAUGUGAAAAAUGUCGGUGAGAACGGUAAAGCAGUUUAUAAAUUCUUUCUCAAUAAUGGGAGUGGUACCCGAGUCCAAAUAAAAGUUUGGGAAGACGAAAUUGACAGAGUUUUACCUCUUAUUAAUUGCAACGAAAUUAUCCAUUUGGAUGGUGUUGCAGCAAAAUCUGUUUUAAAAAUAUUUAACAAGGGAUCAGUACCUUAUGAAUUACUCAUUCAAUCAAAUUCAUUAAUUAAUUGUUUGGGAAAAAUAAAAAUAAAGCAGCAGAAAGUUAAUGAAGCUCCAUUAAUUACACUCUAAAAUAUUUAUGCUACUACAGAUUUUAUUAUGAAAUUAUUGGUUAUGUUGGCAAUAUUGAAGCUUCAAAAGCUGUGAUGACAAAAUAUAAAAAGGAAUGCAAUUUAUUUGCUUUUGAAAUUAAUAAUCUUACAGGAAUUAAAUGUCGCGUUAUUUUAUGGGGAGAUGAAAUUCCAAAAAUUGAACCAUUAAUAAGAACUAGAAAUGUUCUUCACAUCGAUGGGGUAAUAGCCGUGGCAGCCUAUAAAAAUACUACGCCACUUUCGUACGAAUUACAAAUUGUUAGCUGCACAAAAGUUAAAGUUUUACAAACGGAUUUAAAAUUUAAAACUAUUGAAAAAUGUAUUAAAAUAAUAGACAUCAAAGAUAUUGGAAAAUAUAUAAACACAA